rnacentral:rRNA from 1 species
CAUUCACGGAGAGUUUGAUCCUGGCUCAGGACGAACGCUGGCGGCGUGCUUAACACAUGCAAGUCGAACGA